GGACCCGUAGCUCAGUUGGAUAGAGCGUCGCCCUCCGAAGGCGAAGGUCGCACGUUCGAGUCGUGUCGGGUCCGCCA
rnacentral:tRNA from 1 species